CUUGACCGAGCCGAGCCACAGUGGCCGGUCGGCGGGACGGUCCUGCCCGUACGUGGCGAUGAGCGCCUGGGCCUC
rnacentral:antisense_RNA from 1 species